rnacentral:rRNA from 1 species
GAUGAACGCUGGCGGCGUGCCUAAUACAUGCAAGUCGAGCGAACAGACGAGGAGCUUGCUCCUCUGACGUUAGGGGCGGACGGGUGAGUAACACGUGGAUAACCUACCUAUAAGACUGGGAUAACUUCGGGAAACCGGAGCUAAUACCGGAUAAUAUAUUGAACCGCAUGGUUCAAUAGUGAAAGACGGUUUUGCUGUCACUUAUAGCUGGAUCCGCGCCGCAUUAGCUAGUUGGUAAGGUAACGGCUUACCAAGGCUACGAUGCGUAGCCGACCUGAGAGGGUGAUCGGCCACACUGGAACUGGGACACGGUCCAGACUCCUACGGGAGGCAGCAGUAGGGAAUCUUCCGCAGUAGGCGAAAGCCUGACGGAGCAACGCCGCGUGAGUGAUGAAGGUCUUCGGAUCGUAAAACUCUGUUAUUAGGGAAGAACAAAUGUGUAAGUAACUAUGCACGUCUUGACGGUACCUAAUCAGAAAGCCACGGCUAACUACGUG